GACAGAGGGUGCAAACGUUGUUCGGAAUUACUGGGCAUAAAGGGCACGUAGGUGGUUCGCUAAGUUACGUGUGAAAUCCCCCGGCUCAACCGGGGAAUUGCGCGUGAUACUGGCGGACUCGAGGCGGGUAGGGGUGAGCGGAACUCCAGGUGGAGCGGUGAAAUGCGCAGAUAUCAGGAGGAACACCGGUGGCGAAGGCGGAUCUCUGGGCCGAUACUGACGCUGAGGAGCGAAAGCGUGGGGAGCGAACAGG
rnacentral:rRNA from 1 species